AUUCAGUUUCAAUAAAUCUUCCUAACUUGUUAGAAUUUUUACAAAAGGGACUAGAAAAACGAUUGAGUCUCAGCUCCCUGAAGGUUCAAUUAUCUGCCUUCUCAGACAUAUCUAAUGUCCAAUGGGCUCUAGAUCCUACAAUCAAGUUAUUUCUAAAGGGGGCCAUGAGAAUCAGACCAAAAAUGUCAUUCCAGCAUGGGAUCUACCAACAGUGCUACACAGUUUAACUGGUGCACCAUUUGAACCUAUGGAUUCAUCAUCCCUAUGAGACUUGAUGUUGAAAAAUUUAUUUCUUAUUGUUAUCACAUCUACUAGAAGGACUUCUGAACUCCAAGCCCUUUUGAUUUGGAUUACUUCUGCAAUUCAUAAAGCAUACAAGGUGGCUGGAAAGAAGGUACCAGAGGGAAUCAAGGCUCACUCUACCAAGGCUGUCUCGGCAUCUUUGGCAGAUAAUUCAACGGAGGAAUUUUGCAGGGCGUCUGUCUGGUCGUCCUCCAACACUUUCAUAAGGCGUUACCGUUUAGAUGUUACAGGCUCCUCUGUCUCUUACAGGAGGAAAGUCCUUAAUUCUGCCAUUUAAUGUUUAAAUUUGAUUUGCAUUGAAAAUGUUGUUUAUAAACUUGGGAAAUCCCAUAGGUGGUGAUGCUGGCAUGGAUUAGCCAGGAAAACAGAAAAGUGCUGCCAUACUUGCCGUAAUCUUCUUUUCCUGGCUAUUAUCCAUGUCAGUAUCAACAAUUCCUCCCAAUGUCUCAACUGACUUAAUUACGAGACUGCUGAAUAUGCGGAGCGGACUUCCUUCUAUAACCUUAUUUUAAUUUAGAUUCCUGUCCUAUCAGCUGAGAGGAAGGAUGCUGACAUCCUCGUGGUGAGGCUGACCUAGAUAAUAGCCAGGAAAAGAGUUACAGUGAGUAUGGCAACAAUUUUCUGUUAUGGCGACUAUAGUGUCCCUUUAAAUCACCAUGAGCUCCGUUCAAAGAAGAAGGGGGAGAGUGAAAGAAGUAUAUGAAAAGUAGUUAAAUGGAAUUGGAGUAGCUGUCGCGUUUCGUUUGUCUCCAUGUGGCAAAAACAGAUAGAAUUACCUUCCGAUCGAGGGGAGUGACGCUCAGCGGUCUUCUGCCAUGAUGCCUGGCAUUUGCGGCAUGUCUGUGCAUGCCGGCUGCUGCUGCAGACCCACGCAAUUAUAUAGCCCCAAGUCCAUCCACAGGAAAGACGUCGACAUUCCAAGAACGACGUCCCUUAGCUCAUUGCCCUGUCGUAGUUUCCCUUAGAUGGUUAUCCGAAAAUGUGUUCCUGAUCGCGUUUUUCUAGUUUUUGACUUUGGCUUCGUUUUGUCUUUCCUGAUUUCUGGUACCCUUGACUUGGCUUUUCCAUAGCUCUGUGUCUCGUUCUGUGUCCCUGACCUCGGCUAGUUUUCUGACUAUUCUCGGAUAUGUUAAGUAUCACACCCUAGAAGUAAAGGCCCAGUAAGACGUUGCUCUUACUUCUAGGGUGUGAUACUAUUCUUCAUGCUGGUUCAAUAUAAUCAUGACAUUACGAUAGGGCCAUAGAUCCUGCAGAUAUGUGUCAGCACAUAGUAGCUUGUGAGAGAAAGCUAGAGAAGAAUGUUUACCGUAUGAAUCAAUUUGUCCAAGCUUUCAAUACGCUACUAAUAUGCAGUGCAGUCUUUAACGCGGGGCAAACGGGGCAGCUUCCCCGGGCCCAGUUACUCUUGGGGGGCCCAAAGCAGCUGCCCCGGGGGCCCCGCUGCCCUCAACAAUUUUUUUCCCCAUGGGACCCCUGGCCUGCACAUUAAGCAGGGGCCUGGUCACAUGCUGUAGCCCUCUAACAGCACAACCGCUGCGAGUCACUUCCUCCCAGUAAGGAGAGGAGCCACGCAAGAGACUAAGGAGCCUGUGCCGGGAGAGGCAGAUCCCAACAGCCUCAGCCUUCAGUCUGGACACUGGGGAACCACCUUCCAAGGUAGGAAACUAGAGGGUGGGUUUAAAAGUGUAAAUUUAUGUCUGUCUGUUUGUGUCAGUGUAUGUUUUUCAGUCUGUCUGUGUUUGUGUCAGUAUGUUUCUGUGUAUGUGUGUUAGUUUGUCUGGCAGGGGGCAGGGUCCAGGGUCCCCAAGCAAAUGGUUGCCCAGAUGGCCCUGCUAAUAUGUACAGCUCAUUUGCAGCCUGAUGUCCCUUCAGCAGUUACACGCUCACCUACUGUACCUGUACCUACACCUAUUGUAUAUCUAUAACCCUAUCUUCACCCCCGCAUUUUGAAGGUAAUAUUCAUGAAUGUCAGGGAUUCCUUAAUCAGAUUGAGUACCAUUUUGAAGCCUCACCUGGGUCCUUCCCCAUGGAUAGAGCUAAAAUUGGGUACUUAAUGAACCAACUACAUGGUAAAAAGCCUUAGCAUGGGCCAAUCCAUCAUGGGAAGACUAAGACUGUUGCCCAUAAUUACCAAGAAUUAACUUUGAACCAUUGGGAAGGGAGAGCAAUGCGGGAUAAAACUUACCAGGAAAGGUUAAAGGAUCUUAACAUGUAUAGCUUGGAGGAAAGACGAGACGGGGGAUAUGAUAGAAUCAUUUAAAUAUAUAAAGGGAAUCAACACAGUAAAGGAGGAGACUAUAUUUAAAAGAAGAAAAACUACCACAACAAGAGGACAUAGUCUUAAAUUAGAGGGACAAAGGUUUAAAAAUAAUAUCAGG
rnacentral:lncRNA from 1 species